GCAACGGUAGCCUAGCCUGGUAAGACGCUGGAUUGGAAAUCCAGUGUGAGUGAUCACCCGGGGGUUCGAAUCCCUCCCGUUGCG
rnacentral:tRNA from 1 species